CAAAACUGUGCUGUGGUUAAGAUGUUAACAUCUGAGGAAGCUCGGUGAACAACUCAGAAAAAUAAGAAACAGGAUGCCCGAGGUCAGAAGUUCCCUGCCUGACCAGACCAGCUGAAACCAGUGGGAUCCAAGAUGGCAGCUCACCUGACCUCUGAAGAACCUUUAACUUCAUUAUCAUCUAAUUUCCAUACUAAAUGACACUCCCACUAGGACCAUGACAGUUGACAAUCACCAUGACAAUGACAAGAAACCAUAAGGGGACAAAAAAACAGGCAGCACUCUGGUUUCCAGAAGUUCUCCACCCAUUCCCAGAAAAUACAUGAAUAUUCCUCUCCUGGCUUUUAAUGCCCAAUCCCUUCAUUAAAGAUGUCCUACAUCUGUGGCUUCCCACCUCUCAUGGACUGAGAAGCCAAUUUGCGAGCCACACUGCCACUUCUCAAUUCCACGGCCAUUAUAUAAAGCCUGCACUGCUUGAUGCUCACCUUCAGUUUCAUGGGUUGGCUUCAUGACACAGGACAGGAAAGAAUCC
rnacentral:lncRNA from 1 species